rnacentral:lncRNA from 1 species
UCCAUAAAUUAUACCUAUCUUAAAUAAAUAAAAUUCCAUAAUACUUAGUUCCAUGUUCAAUCAAAAUAAAAUUCAAACUGCUUUAAGUAAAUAAAAUUCAACAAUGCUUAGUUUAACAACACUUAGUUCUAUAUUCAAUCAAAAUAAAAUUCAAAUAUAAUACAGAUUUAGCAAACCAAGAUAUUCGACAACAAUACUGACUAAUGACAGUGUCACU